UCCUUUUCUUUUCCUCUUAUUCCCGUGCCCUAACCAUGCGACGCCGUCUCCUCCUUUGCUUAACCGGCGCCACAAGCGACAGUUCCUUCUUCCUCUUCUUCUCCGAUCGAACGCCGGCUAAGUUUCUGUUUUCCCCGUCUCCGUUCCUCUCUUUUGGCCGACUCCGAGCUUUUACCCUAGCGCCGGCCACUGACCUUGAGCCCUAGAUUUGUCUCGGCCGUGGAGAUCAGGACGCGCCGCAGCCAUCUCGCGUCGCUCCGGUCGCUACAAUUGGCGCCGACGCCUGCCGCCCAUCCGAGACCCUUCCUUUGAUCACCGAGAAGAGCCCCUUCCUCUCCUCUUCCGCUCACCGAUCAGCCGACCAAAUUCUUCUGCUCUAGAUCUAUUCCGCGUGGUCUUCACUGUGCCCUGCCGAUGCUGCCAUCUCUUGACCCGAACAACGCCGACCUCCUCCAUGAUGUGUUCUAGUUCCAGAUGCGGACAGCAACUAUCUCUUGGCGUGGAUAAGUGAGUACGAGGGUAGUCUUGUGCUGUGGAUUUUGGUGGAUCUGGCAGUCAUUGACUUCAGCAAGUUUCAGCAACUUCUUGUUCUUGAACAAGGCUGUAAAUUGAGGGCUCUGAUUCGAGACAGUAUCUCGACGUCGGAUUUGGACCAUUUUGUCGGAGGCGGG